CCUGCCAGCCAGGGCCAGGCGUGCGGGGACAGCUCCAGCAAACACCCAUUGGAAAGACUUUGAUCAGUAGGGUCCUCCCUCCUCCUGGGGCUGAGGAACACCAGGCACUUCCCCGGGCAAGCAGGCCACGUUCAGCUCCCGGCCCAGGCCCAGCCCAUAAUGGCUUAGCACACACCCGCCCAGAGGGAGAGGAGAGGAAGAGGAGGAACAGGAGAGCCGAGCGCGCCCAGCCAGACCUCCCAGGGGCAGCACAGCGCACAGGAGCCUGAAGCCAGCCGCCAAGGACGACCAACAACAGAAAAGCUGAGGCCGAGACAGCAGCUGGCUGUCAGCAGCCGGGAGUUCCACACGCUCUGAGGAAGGCGCCCAGGGGCAGGUCAGGAAAGAGGCAUCCGAGAAGGAAGGAAGAGGUGGUGGCUGGGCCGAAGACAGGCCCAGGAGGCUGCUGGGCUCCCCGGCACGUGCGGCUGCCCCCCAACCCCACACCCGAGUUCCUAGGUGAGUGGUGCCAGCCACAGAUGAUAGGGUUGCGGGGGGGGGGGGAUGCGGGGCAGCCAGGGUCCCCUGCCCCAAGGGUGGAGAGCCACCAUCUACCUGGAACACAGAGGCUCACGGGGGUGCAACUUCAUUUAAACGUGGGCUCUCCCUUCUUUUGCUGGGA